GUAGUUAGCCGGGGCUUCCUCCUUGGCUACCGUCACUUUCUUCGUCACCAAGGACAGAGGUUUACAACCCGAAAGCCUUCUUCCCUCACGCGGCGUUGCUGGGUCAGGCUUGCGCCCAUUGCCCAAUAUUCCCCACUGCUGCCUCCCGUAGGAGUCUGGACCGUGUCUCAGUUCCAGUGUGGCCGAUCAGCCUCUCAGCUCGGCUACCCAUCGUUGGCUAGGUGGGCCGUUACCCCGCCUACUACCUAAUGGGACGCGAACCCCUCCUUUAGCGGAUUUCUCCUUUGACCUCUGUGUCAUGCGGCACUGUGGUCUUAUGCGGUAUUAGCACCUGUUUCCAAGUGUUAUCCCCCUCUAAAGGGCAGGUUGUUCACGCGUUACUCACCCGUCCGCCACUCAGUCAUCCAUUCCUCUUGACGAAUCUCAAGGUCAGGAGCUUCGUUCGACUUGCAUGUGUUAAGCACGCCGCCAGCGUUCGUCCUGAGCCAUGAUCAAACUCUGA
rnacentral:rRNA from 1 species